GGAAGGGCUGUGGCUCAGUGGUAGAGCCUCUGCUUGGUAUGCAGAAGGCCCCAGGUUCAAUCCCUGCCACCUCCA